GGAAGUAAAGUCGUAACAAGGUUUCCGUAGGUGAACCUGCGGAAGGAUCAUUAUUGUAUAACCGAGGUGCGAGGGCUGUCGCUGACCCGAAAGGUCGUGCACGCCCGAGUGCCCUCACACGCAUCCAUCUCACCCCUAUGUGCACCACCGCGUGGGUCCCCCUUUGGCUUGUUCGGAGGGGGGCUUACGUUUUCACACAAACUUUGUAUGCAGUGUAGAAUGUAUUUUUUGUUUUUGCGAUCACGCAAUCAAUACAACUUUCAACAACGGAUCUCUUGGCUCUC
rnacentral:misc_RNA from 1 species